ACAGGCCGCUGGUGUAUCUGUUGUAGUGCCAACUGCAUGGCAGAGUAGCCAAGCCUGGAAGGGAUAAACGCUGAAGGCAUCUAAGCGUGAAGCCCCCCUCAAGAUGAGAUAUCCCAUUCGAAAGAAGUAAGACCCCUUGAAGACGACGAGGUAGAUAGGGCAGAGGUGGAAGUGCAGCAAUGUAUGGAGCUGACUGCUACUAAUCGGUCGAGGGCUUGACCAGAA
rnacentral:rRNA from 1 species